AUACUCCAGAGCCAUAGAUCUUGAGAGAACGAUCCACAAAAAACACCAAGGAAUGCUUUAAGAUGGAUAUAGAGAAUUGAUCAAUUACCAUAAAUCUAUUACACGUACGAACUCUGGGUUUGUUGAAAAGGCAGUUGAAAGACUUGAUUCAAGUGCCUGAAUUCCUGGAUCCAUUAAUAGUCAUUGAUUUGAAAAUUGAUCUACAGAAAGAAAAGGAAACCAAAUAGCAUAGAAAGUAGGUCCUAGGAUCUCUUUUAUGCAUUUCUAUAAAGAAGGUUCUGUGAUAAUAUCCAAUGAAUGGCAAUAUUAAAAACAUCUAUCACAUCCAUGUUGAGUUUAUCAGAUGACAAAAUGUUCAGCAAUAGUGUAUUGUCUUUAAAUUCAAGAACAGAGUGUGGAUUGAGGGAUAUAUAGAGAGAAGAGGUGAGACGCUAUCAAGACUCAGAUCGUACUCAUCCGUGUACAUCCAUUCCAAUACUUCCCUGAACGUAGAAGGAGUUACGUUAGGUAUAGGAAUCUCUAAAUAACCCAGUUUCCGUGACUCCAUAAAAUCUUCAUUGAACAACCAGUCAAAAACUAAACAGACAGAUGCAAGUAUGCACUUAUGGGCUGAAAUUAUCUCAGGAAAUUCUUCCUUAUCUCCUCCAACCAGGAAAGAAACGUCGGAGCAGAUUCCUGGAAUAAUGAAUAAAUGCGUUUU
rnacentral:lncRNA from 1 species